GAUGAAGAACGUAGCGAAAUGCGAUACGUAAUGUGAAUUGCAGAAUUCAGUGAAUCAUCGAGUCUUUGAACGCACAUUGCGCCCCCUGGUAUUCCGGGGGGCAUGCCUGUCCGAGCGUCAUUGCUGCCCUCAAGCACGGCUUGUGUGUUGGGCCUCCGUCCUCCUCCCGGGGGACGGGCCCGAAAGGCAGCGGCGGCACCGCGUCCGGUCCUCGAGCGUAUGGGGCUUCGUCACCCGCUCUUGUAGGCCCGGCCUGCGCUUGCCGACACAUCAAUCUUUUUUCCAGGUUGACCUCGGAUCAGGUAGGGAUACCCGCUGAACUUAAGCAUAUCAAUAAGCGGAGGA
rnacentral:misc_RNA from 1 species